rnacentral:rRNA from 1 species
UGGUCCUACGGGAGGCAGCAGUGAGGAAUAUUGGUCAAUGGGCGAGAGCCUGAACCAGCCAAGUAGCGUGCAGGAUGACGGCCCUCCGGGUUGUAAACUGCUUUUAGUUGGGAAUAAAAAAAGGGACUUGUCCCUUCUUGUAUGUACCUUCAGAAAAAGGACCGGCUAAUUCCGUGCCAGCAGCCGCGGUAAUACGGAAGGUCCAGGCGUUAUCCGGAUUUAUUGGGUUUAAAGGGAGCGUAGGCGGAUUGUUAAGUCAGCGGUUA